rnacentral:rRNA from 1 species
AGUGAACGCUGGCGGUAGGCCUAACACAUGCAAGUCGAACGGCAGCACAGUAAGAGCUUGCUCUUACGGGUGGCGAGUGGCGGACGGGUGAGGAAUACAUCGGAAUCUACUUUUUCGUGGGGGAUAACGUAGGGAAACUUACGCUAAUGCCGCAUACGACCUACGGGUGAAAGCAGGGGAUCUUCGGACCUUGCGCGAUUGAAUGAGCCGAUGUCGGAUUAGCUAGUUGGCGGGGUAAAGGCCCACCAAGGCGACGAUCCGUAGCUGGUCUGAGAGGAUGAUCAGCCACACUGGAACUGAGACACGGUCCAGACUCCUACGGGAGGCAGCAGUGGGGAAUAUUGGACAAUGGGCGCAAGCCUGAUCCAGCCAUACCGCGUGGGUGAAGAAGGCCUUCGGGUUGUAAAGCCCUUUUGUCGGGAAAGAAAAGCAGCAGGUUAAUACCCCGCUGUUCUGACGGUACCCAAAGAAUAAGCACCGGCUAACUUCGUG